ensembl:lncRNA
AAGAGUCUGCUCUUCAGUGAACAAGGGUACUUGCAUGGGGAAUUUGGAGUGAUAAAUUCUUAGUUGCUACUGAGCUGAAUUGUUUGAAGAUCUGCCUGGAAAAGUACUUCAGAAAGUGUCAAAUGACAAUUUUAAUAAGAAAUUGUUUCUGGUAACCGAGAUUUAAUAAAGAGAUUGAGUAGCAGAUGAGAAGUUGGUUUAAAGAAUCAAACAGCUACAAGAAGCUAGACUUCUCCAGCGUAUGGAUUUCAGUGUACAUUUCGAAUAGAUAACAACAUACCACAGAGUUUCAGGUUUAGCACAUCUUAGAUAAAGUAAGAUGAAUAUUCCAGAAUGACUGCAAAUGCAAUGCACAUGGUGUAUGUAGUAUGUGGUUAAAUUGGGCGAGAGAAAGUUAGUCAAAAUACCCCAUCUAAUAUGGAGCAUGUUUUCUAAGCUUCCUUAUAUGCUUACAACAUCCAGGGUUCUUUCCUUAAUAUCUUUGCAGAAAUCCAUAAAAUUCACAUCUUAGUGUUCUGCAUCUUAAAUGAUAAUCUUGAAAUCUCUAAACAGAUUUUCGUGCACUGAUGAUAUAUGCAUAAAACAAUGUCAAUUUUGGAUUAAGCCCUUACUUUUUGUGUAGCUGCUUCAGAUCCAGUUUUAAGAGCAGAUCAAAGUGCUUCAAUUCCAGUUAAUGUUUCUAUUGGGAAGGGAAGCUAGGAAAGGAAUCAGAUGUGAAUUCUACUCCGGACUCAGCAUAGAAGCAUAGUAACUGAAAAACCAAAUUUGGAAAACUUAAUGAAAAAAACUAUUCCUUUUAUAAGCUGUUACAGGCUUACUUGUUUUCUUGUCUACUAUACACUACUUCACAGUAUCAUGUCUGCUUUAUGAUUUUACGUAAUAUACGAUAGCUGGCUGUCACCAUUGCUGGGAUUACUGCUGCGUAUGUAAAUGAGAAUUUUUCUCAGCCCUCUUGUUUUAAUGAGCUCUUCUAAUUACUAUGUGAAGAACCACAUGAAUGGAGCUGAGAUGAUAACUAGAUGAACUAACAGUCACAGCACUGGAACCCAGAUCCUUCACUACUAGGAAGUAUCAUAGCUCUGUAUGGAGUUACUCUCUUGAAUUCAGCCAUAGAAACUCCUGAAUAAAGUGCCAGUGAAAAAUGUUGUUUCUUGACACUUUACAAUGCAUUGCAGCAUUUUGCUGUUAUUGUAAUCCAGACUGCUGAAUUCUUCAGUACAGCAGACAUUGUAGUGUUAUGCAGUACACUUGCUACUGCAUUUAUUUGUGUGUUUUAUUUCCCUCUUGUAUGGUCUGUGUAUUGUAUCAUUUAUUUGAGGUAUAGCAUAUGUAUAUGAAGAAAGAGAAUGUAUAUAAAAUUUGCACUAAAAUGUGUGAAUAUAUACAUUUGUGAUGAAUUUGGACUGUAAAACCAAAUAUAAGAGUGGAUAAAAAAGAUAUUAUCAUUUCAAUUUUGAAACAGCCACUGCCCACAAGCACUGUGCUGACUUAUCAGUAAUUUACACAGCUGUCUAACUUUGGAAAAAAUAGCACUACUUUAAGAUAAACCUGUGAGAUUUACAAACAGAACAGCUCAAAGCAGUUGCAAAAUAAAAUCAAAUGUUUGAUGAUUUUAAAGAAAGAAGAAAUGUAGUAAAAAUGAUAGUAAGUAUUCAUAAUAAUAAUGCUAAUGCUAAUAAUACUAAUAACCAUUAUAAUAAAAAUAAUUAAUUUGCAUUUCAGGGAGCAGAUUUUCCUGAAAGACCUCAUGGUGUAUUGAAUUAAACAGUGUUUGAACAUAACAAAGUAAUAUCUGAAUACAACAGGACAAAACUUUUCAAAAGUCUCCAAAGUCAAGCUGGAUAGGCAAAUAUCAUGAGACUGAAAUGGUAUUUAAGGACCAGGGUCCUCUACUUACUUGGUCACUAAUGCUUGUAGAGGCCAAGUUCCUCAUGACCACGGGAGGUGUAAAAAAUACUUCUUUUUACAUCCAUAUUUUGAAACACCCUUUAUUGCAUGAUUUAUUGUGACAACAGUAAAUCACAGUUGGAAGCUCAAACAGGAAGUAGACAGGCAUUUGCUUUCCUAGCAAUUUAAUCUCACGGGUACUUUUGGAAAAUAUUCUUUAUCUGUCAAAAGCACUCUGAAAGGAUUAGCCUUCUAAAACUAGAGUUAUUACCUUUCUUUUCAAAUG